UACGGAGGGUGCAAGCGUUGUUCGGAUUUACUGGGCGUAAAGCGCGCGCAGGUGGGUGAACAAGUCGGAAGUGAAAUCUUGAGGCUCAACCUCGAGGCUGCUCCCGAAACUGUUCGCCUAGGGACUGGUAGAGGCUGGUAGAAUUCCCGGUGUAGCGGGUGGAAUGCGUAGAGAUCGGGAAGAAUACCUGUGGCGAAGGCGGACCAGCUGGGCCAGAUCCGACACUGAGGCGCGAAAGCGUGGGGAGCAAACAGGGA
rnacentral:rRNA from 1 species